rnacentral:lncRNA from 1 species
UCAGGGACUUGCGUUUGCCGCCUAUCUAAUUCACGUUUAACCAAUUGAGGAAAGUAACAAAUAGAGUGUUGAAUAAUUGUAAAUUACAAACAAAAUAAACAAUGCAUAAAAUAAAAUAUUGGACUAUCAAUGGAGUAAAUCCUAGGGUUGAGGCAUUUCAAACAAUCUUACAAAUCUCUAUUCCUGUCGAAGUUUAAUUAAUUAUCAGGUUGUUGAUUCGCAAGGUUUAUGCUAUGAUCUUGGUCUCCCAACCUCAAAUCUUCUAUCUAUUGAACAUUUCAGCUACAACUCCC